rnacentral:rRNA from 1 species
ACGGGUGAGUAACGCGUGGAUAAUCUAUCCUUAAAUCGGGGAUAACAUUGCGAAAGCGAUGCUAAUACCGGAUAUGAUUUAUAUUUUUUAAGGAUAUGAAUUAAAGGUGGUCUCUACAUGUAAGCUACCGUUUAAGGGUGAGUCCGCGUACCAUUAGCUUGUUGGUGAGAUAAUAGCUCACCAAGGCGANGAUGGUUAGCUGGUCUGAGAGGAUGAUCAGCCACACUGGAACUGGAACACGGUCCAGACUCUACGGGAGGCAGCAGUGAGGAAUUUUGCGCAAUGGGGGAAACCCUGAGCCAGCAACGCCGCGUGAGUGAUGAAGGCUUCGGGUCGUAAAGCUCUGUCAAGUGGGAAGAAUAUAUUUAAUGCGAAUAGUAUUAAGUACUGACGGUACCACUGAAGGAAGCACCGGCUAACUCCGUGCCAGCAGCCGCGGUAAUACGGAGGGUGCAAGCGUUAUUCGGAAUUAUUGGGCGUAAAGAGCGCGUAGGCGGUCUUAUAAGUCAGAUGUGAAAUCCCGGGNCUCAACCCCGAAAGUGCAUUUGAAACUAUAAGACUUGAGUAUGGGAGAGGGAAGUGGAAUUCCUGGUGUAGCGGUGAAAUGCGUAGAUAUCAGGAAGAACAUCAGUGGCGAAGGCGACUUCCUGGACCAAUACUGACGCUGAGGCGCGAAGGCGUGGGUAGCAAACAGGAUUAGAUACCCUGGUAGUCCACGCAGUAAACGUUGAACACUAGGUGUAGCGGGUAUUGACCCCUGCUGUGCCGCACGUAACGCAUUAAGUGUUCCGCCUGGGGAGUACGG